UACGUAGGUGGCAAGCGUUGUCCGGAAUUAUUGGGCGUAAAGCGCGCGCAGGCGGUCCUUUAAGUCUGAUGUGAAAGCCCACGGCUCAACCGUGGAGGGUCAUUGGAAACUGGGGGACUUGAGUGCAGAAGAGGAAAGCGGAAUUCCACGUGUAGCGGUGAAAUGCGUAGGAGAUGUGGAGGAACACCAGUGGCGAAGGCGGCUUUCUGGUCUGUAACUGACCGCUGAGGCACGAAAGCGUGGGGAGCAAACAGG
rnacentral:rRNA from 1 species